GCGGGUCGCGCGCAGAGCUCUGGGCCCCUGGGCGGCGGAGCAUCCUGGGAUUCGUAGUUUCCGACAACAAGGGGCUGGGCUCGGGGGCGGGGCUCAGGAUUCUCUGAUGUCAUCGCCUGGAAUAGAGCUUCGCGGCACCGGGAUCUCUAAAGACAGGCUUCGUCCAUUUGCAGAUAAGCUGUUUGCCAGCUGCCCCAUCAUCAGUGCAGGAAGCACAGACUCACUGGCUGUGGCGCGACCCGCAGAACCACGCUUCUCAGCUCCCGCGCCAAUCCUGCGCCCCAACCAUUCCUAUCUAGAACUGUAGCCCCACCUCCUACGGGACCCGAGCCUCAGAGACACUUAAAGGGUCAGUGGAAAGUCUUUCAGAAAAGAUGGAGAAUAACCAUGUCUUUUCAUAAACACUUAUUCAUAGUUAGCAUCUCUGUUGAGCACCUACUAUGUGCCAAGUCCCGCGAUGGGCCCGAGGCCUACAUCUGAGAACGAGGCGGACUCCACAGGCCUUCAUGGAGCCUGCAGUCUGUAAGGGGAGCGAGUCCUUAAGACAAUGAUAGACGUUAGUGCCAGGCAGUAACUGGGCAGUUAGAGUGGGGGAGGAGGGGCUCUGGUUGGGGGUGGUCCGCGAAGGCUCUCUGAGGAACUGAUAUUUGAGCUGGAACCUGAAAGGUGAGAAUUAUUCAGACAUGCCAAGGGCUGGGGGAGAAUUACUGGCCGUGCCUCUCACAGUGCACCGCCGGGCUCUCGGGCUCUGCUUGUUGUGUCCUCCUUCCUUCCCUUCCCCUGCCCAGCCUUAGAUCACAUCCUUCCCUCCUCACCUCGGUACCGGCUCUGUUCAGAACGUCCCUCCUAGAGGAAGAUGUGCAGGAGACAGAUCCGUGCCCAGCAGGAGGACAAGCUGCAGUGGCCAGGACGAAGGAAUAUAUAUUUUAAAAAAUAAAAUAAAAGUCUGGGCCCUCAGCCUGGCCUCCUGACUUGAUUCUGUUCAUGAGGCAGAAAAUCGGAUUUGGAGUGUCUUUAUUAGGAUCCUAAAGGAGCUUCGACUUUAUCUCAUCUGAACCAAUGGGAAGUGGAAGACAGCCGUAGACUUACCUGCGGAGACUUACCUGUGUGCCCGUGGCAGCUCGCUGUACUGGCCCUUAGCGACCAGCUGCUCCCCUUACAGCGUGUUCAGAGCCCCAUGCACGGAUGGCAGUGAAAGCACCUCACCAGCUUCAUGGAAGGCUCCGGUCCUGGCUUUUACAGACUUCCACCUUCCACAUUCCCAAGACCACUGGUCCGUGUUCUUUCGGGAGACCCUGGUCUGUGGCCCAGCAGACACCCGUCUUCUCCAGGCCUCGCGUCCUCGCCUGCUCACCAGUCUGUGGAAUAUUCCCUUGUUGAAAUGACAGCCUGGGAGCCAACCAAGAACAUUCGGGACCCACAGACAGUGUGAGGAAUUCUGGAAUGUUCCACGGAGACUGGUCAUCUGAAGAAAAUGGUGAGGAGUCUGAAGUCCAGAAUCUGCCAUUUACAUUUAUUUAUUCAUUUAUUUUUAAAUAUGUUUUUAUUGAUUUCGGAGAGGAAGGGAGAGAGAGAGAGAAACAUCAAUGAUGAGAAAGAGUCAUUGAUUGGCUGCCUCCUGCACGCCCCACACUGGGGAUCAAGCCCGCAACUGUUGACCUCGUGGUCCUGGGCAGACCCUCAGCCACGGAGCCACGCCGGCCGGGCUGCCACUUACCUCUACGCCGUCACUGCCAUCCCAGCGCCAGGCCCCGCGUGUAAAGCAUCUGCAGUUCGCUCAGGAGCACUUGCUGAGCCCUUCGUGCCGUGUGGAGAGGGCAUGUGACGGGCCCGGAGCCACACCGGAAGUGACAGAGCACCGUUGCCCCUCGGAUAUCUGCCCCCCCGCCCGGCGUCGACCCGGCCUAUCCCCUCCCCUUAGCAGUGACCACCUUCUCACACGCGCCGUGUUUAUCUGACUGUCUGCACGCCUCCCUCGAGCGUGACCUCCACACACAGGCACUGUCUCUGUUUGGCUGGUCAGUUUCUUCUCAGCGCCCAGAACAGAGAUGCCUGGUCAGCGAGGAAGGCCACCAGCCCCGUUAGGAACGGGGUCAGCGUCCGAAGUCAAGGAGAGGAGCACCUCCAGGCCUAGCCCCCACCCCCUCCGCCCGUUCCUGCGACCGGAACACACGGUCCGAUGGCUCAGCCGAAGGACCGCCGCUCAGGAUUCUAUGGGAAGGAACGAGAUUGGGAGCCAGCAAGCGAGGAGCACACAGGAGCGCCCAGCAGUGGGUCCCCGGACAAAGGGGUGAUUCGUCUUGACUCAGGGAAAUCCAUGCGUAAACAUCAAGGUGAGCCGGUCAUCACAUGUGUAGGUGGAGACCCCUGUGCCUGCGAACAUGCCUACACACAUCACAUGGCCAAAACCGGCACACAGCCUGGCUGGCGUGGCUCAGGGGUUGAGUGUUGACCUAGGAACCAGGAGGUCACGGUUCUAUUCCUGGUCAGGGCACACGCCCAGUUGCAGGCUUGAUCCCCAUUAGGGGGCCUACAGGAGGCAGCCAAUCAGUGAUUCUCUCUCAUCAUGGAGGUUUCUCUCUCUGAAAUCAAUUAAAAAAAAUUUUUUUUUAAAUAUGGCAAAACAUCUCCAGCGCAGGGAGAGGAUUGUAGCAACGUAACGGAGGUUAGUGAGAAAGCCCUCGAGGGGGUCGGUAGAGGGCCUCCCAGGCCACGUAGACCAGCUGCGGGUUGAGCUGGACCGGGCCCUGGUUCUACAACUCAGCCCCAUGGUCUCCCUGGAAAGACCGGGGGGUCGUUGUUGAGGUUAAGGAUGGCACGGGCAGGGAAGGGGGUUCACUGAGUGGGCCUCAGUCCUCCUGUCACCUCAGCGAAUCCCUGGAUGCUGUUCGCACAGCUUCUAACAAUGGGGGUGAAUCCGUGGGUUCCCAGGGGCCUCCAAGCCAAGUUGGAAAUUCUAGAUGAGAGUCAACGGGGGGCUGCCUUCCAGGUGCCGGCCAUACGCUAACAUACACGUAUGUAUUUCAUGUAUGAAGUAAGCAUGAACCACACUCUCUGGCCCCAGCUCUUCCCCUGUUAGGUCCCCUGGAGAAACUGGGUAGCGGAGAGUUAAAAACAGCCUUCCCUAUUUUUCAGAGUAAAAAUGAAAGCUGGGAAGGAACUCGGUGGGGCUGGCUUUGUGGCUGAGCAGUCAGCAGGCGUCCGCCCCGCCCCCCCACCUGCCCGGCCUCAGCCAAGAGGAGGAGGAUGGGGCUCAGGCAUUGCCACAGGGGGGCUGGGAUUGAGUGACCUGCCCAGGAUCGUCCCCCUGGAACUAAUUUAUAAAAAUGUGUUUUUAUUGAUUUCAGAGAGGAAAGGAGAGAGAGAGAGAGAGAGAGAGAGA